rnacentral:rRNA from 1 species
AGAGUUUGAUCCUGGCUCAGAUUGAACGCUGGCGGCAUGCCUUACACACGCAAGUCGAACGGUAACGCGGGGGCAACCCUGGCGACGAGUGGCGAACGGGUGAGUAAUACAUCGGAACAUAUCCAGUAGCGGGGGAUAACCUAUCGAAAGAUGGACUAAUACCGCACACGAUCUACGGAUGAAAGCAGGGGACCGCAAGGCCUUGCACUAUUGGAGUGGCCGAUGUCGGAUUAGCUAGUUGGUGGGGUAAAAGCUUACCAAGGCGACGAUCCGUAGCUGGUCUGAGAGGACGAUCAGCCACACUGGAACUGAGACACGGUCCAGACUCCUACGGGAGGCAGCAGUGGGGAAUUUUGGACAUGGGCGCAAGCCUGAUCCAGCCAUGCCGCGUGAGUGAAGAAGGCCUUCGGGUUGUAAAGCUCUUUCGGUGAAGACGAAACGGUUCAUGCUAAUAACGUGAACUAAUGACGGUACUCACAGAAGAAGCACCGGCUAACUACGUGCCAGCAGCCGCGGUAAUACGUAGGGUGCAGGCGUUAAUCGGAAUUACUGGGCGUAAAGCGUGCGCAGGCGGUUUGCUAAGACAGGUGUGAAAUCCCCGGGCUUAACCUGGGAAUUGCGCUUGUAACUGGCAAGCUAGAGUGUGGCAGAGGGGGGUGGAAUUCCACGUGUAGCAGUGAAAUGCGUAGAUAUGUGGAGGAACACCGGUGGCGAAGGCAGCCCCCUGGGUUAACACUGACGCUCAUGCACGAAAGCGUGGGGAGCAAACAGGAUUAGAUACCCUGGUAGUCCACGCCCUAAACUAUGUCAACUAGUUGUCGGGGAAGAAAUUCCUUGGUAACGAAGCUAACGCGUGAAGUUGACCGCCUGGGGAGUACGGCCGCAAGGUUAAAACUCAAAGGAAUUGACGGGGACCCGCACAAGCGGUGGAUUAUGUGGAUUAAUUCGAUGCAACGCGAAAAACCUUACCUACCCUUGACAUGCUAGGAAGCCCGCAGAGAUGUGGGUGUGCCCGAAAGGGAACCUAGACACAGGUGCUGCAUGGCUGUCGUCAGCUCGUGUCGUGAGAUGUUGGGUUAAGUCCCGCAACGAGCGCAACCCUUGCCAUUAGUUGCUACAUUCAGUUGGGCACUCUAAUGGGACCGCCGGUGACAAACCGGAGGAAGGUGGGGAUGACGUCAAGUCCUCAUGGCCCUUAUGGGUAGGGCUUCACACGUAAUACAAUGGUCGGUACAGAGGGCUGCCAACCCGCAAGGGGGAGCUAAUCCCAGAAAGCCGAUCGUAGUCCGGAUUGUAGUCUGCAACUCGACUGCAUGAAGCCGGAAUCGCUAGUAAUCGCGGAUCAGCAUGUCGCGGUGAAUACGUUCCCGGGUCUUGUACACACCGCCCGUCACACCAUGGGAGUGGGUUCCACCAGAAGUAGUUAGCCUAACCGCAAGGAGGGCGAUUACCACGGUGAGAUUCAUGACUGGGGUGAAGUCGUAACAAGGUA